GUCCGGAUGGCUUAGUGGUCAGAGCAUCUGCUUAGUGAGCAGAAGACCCGGGUUCACAUCCCAGUCCGAACA